rnacentral:rRNA from 1 species
ACAGAUCGUUCAGAGUUUGAUCCUGGCUCAGAUUGAACGCUGGCGGCAGGCCUAACACAUGCAAGUCGAGCGGAUGAGUGGAGCUUGCUCCAUGAUUCAGCGGCGGACGGGUGAGUAAUGCCUAGGAAUCUGCCUGGUAGUGGGGGACAACGUUUCGAAAGGAACGCUAAUACCGCAUACGUCCUACGGGAGAAAGCAGGGGACCUUCGGGCCUUGCGCUAUCAGAUGAGCCUAGGUCGGAUUAGCUAGUUGGUGAGGUAAAGGCUCACCAAGGCGACGAUCCGUAACUGGUCUGAGAGGAUGAUCAGUCACACUGGAACUGAGACACGGUCCAG